rnacentral:lncRNA from 1 species
GCCGCUCUAACUCUAAGCUUAUGUAAUAUCAUUAAAUUUUUUAUGGAUUUUUUUUCAUUUUAAGAUAAAACAAAUCAAUUAACAAUUAAAAUGAAAAGAUGAAAUGUUCUGUUUUUGAAAUUUGUAGAAGAAAAAAGGAAAAAGGAAAUUUUAAAUCUUAAUAAUUUGAAGAAAAAAAAUCAUUUGCUGAAACAAUGAUAUCAAGAAUAAUGUUCACAGAAAAAGGAAAGGGAAGUAAUAAAUAUUUUAAGAGCAACAGAUGUAAUUCUCUCCCCUUGAUUAUUUAAAAACUUCAAAGCAAUUCAUGAAUAUUCAAUACCUACUAUCUGAAAAGUUAAAUAAGAUUGGGAUAGUUACAUCUGUGACAUGUGCAUAAAACAAGUGCAUGUAUAAAUGUUCAAAUAACGAGUGAACGAAAUUAGUAUCCUAUUAAACAAGUAUGAUCUGCGAAAACGAAAUGAAGCUACCAAAGUCAACAGGACUCUAGGGUCAUUCUUCCUUGUCUGUCGUGCAAAUGAUGAUUGAUAUGAAAUUGUACUUGAAUUCAAGUUGACAAGAUUUUCUAAUUUGCUUUUAUAAAAAAAUCUUGACUUUAAAACAAAUUUAAUUCUAAAAUGUUCUUCCAAGAUAAAUGACCUGUUUUAACACUUUUCUCAUUUACUAAAAUACAAAGAAUUGGAAUCGAUUUUAGUGGUGGUCUUUCAAAAGAAGAUUGUUUUCAGAACAUUAUUAUUUCAAUGGGAAUUGAACUUUUUGAAUGUAUUUUGCAUCCUUAAAUGUGCAAACUUUCAAUGAUGUAUUAAACACAGCACCCUAAACCAUCCUUUACAUGACUUUGGUAGCAAUAUAAAUGACCAUUAUGUUAUGAGGUGAUUUUUGAGAUAUUUGUACUACUUUCAUUUUUCUUUUUGGCAAUAACUAAAUAGUAUGUAGAAUGAAAAUAUAAUUUUCACAAAUGGCAAUAAAUCUAAAA